rnacentral:rRNA from 1 species
GACGAAGGGGGCUAGCGUUGUUCGGAAUUAUUGGGCGUAAAGAGCGUGUAGGCGGCCAGAUAAGUCCGCUGUGAAAUCUCGAGGCUCAACUUCGAGCUGUCGGUGGAAACUAUCUGGCUAGAGUCCGGAAGAGGAGAAUGGAAUUCCUGGUGUAGCGGUGAAAUGCGCAGAUAUCAGGAAGAACACCCGUGGCGAAGGCGGUUCUCUGGGACGGUACUGACGCUGAGACGCGAAAGCGUGGGGAGCGAACAGG